rnacentral:tRNA from 1 species
GUGGAUGUAGCUCAGUGAUAGAGCGCACGCGUUGCAUGUGUUAGGACCCGGGUUCAAUCCCCGGCAUCUACA